rnacentral:rRNA from 1 species
GACGAACGCUGGCGGCGUGCCUAAUACAUGCAAGUCGAGCGGAAGUUGGAGAGCUUGCUCUUCAACUUUAGCGGCGGACGGGUGAGUAACACGUGGGCAACCUGCCCUGCAGAUCGGGAUAACUCCGGGAAACCGGUGCUAAUACCGAAUAGUUUUCGCCACCUCCUGGUGGCGUACGGAAAGACGGUUUCGGCUGUCACUGCAGGAUGGGCCCGCGGCGCAUUAGCUAGUUGGUGGGGUAACGGCCCACCAAGGCGACGAUGCGUAGCCGACCUGAGAGGGUGAUCGGCCACACUGGGACUGAGACACGGCCCAGGCUCCUACGGGAGGCAGCAGUAGGGAAUCUUCCGCAAUGGACGAAAGUCUGACGGAGCAACGCCGCGUGAGUGACGAAGGUUUUCGGAUCGUAAAACUCUGUUGUGAGGGAAGAACAAGUACCAACUAACUACUGGUACCUUGACGGUACCUCACCAGAAAGCCACGGCUAACUACGUGCCAGCCGCCGCGGUAAAAC